UCUACAGCAAUGUUAAGAAUCAUUGCGGCGCUUGUGGUUGGCGUGAGUUACUAUCCGUUCUUCGCUUGUAUUUCAACUCAUCAACGGUUGCUCGGAGCUGUGCUUGGAACGAUAUUUUCGAUAAUAUGGUAGGUACUGUACGUUUGUUCAAUAAUUGAUGAGUUUCAUGCAGAAAGCCUUACCAGGAAGCGUGUUUAUUUUCUUAUUCUGAUAACUGUCGCUUGACCAGCAUAGUGAAACCAACCGACAUUUGCAAUUUCUAUUGCCUAUGUUACGAUUCAAUGCUUAAAAUAAAGAAACAAUGGGUGUUUCCAGCUAUAGACUAAAUUUUGAUCGAGGCAGGAAGAACGAAAUCCAACACCACAACUAGAAUGAGCGUCUUAGAAUGAGUAAAACUGCAAAGAUUGGUUGCUAAAUGUUGUGAAAUGAAGAAAAUAUAGCCCUGUGAAGUUUGAUAUAUUUGAUAUUACGCGCGGUAAAAGCAACAACUUUCGGCUCAAAAUGGUUAUUUUUCCCGCGCGUAAUGCAAAUAUAUACAAAAAUUUGCGAACUUCACAGGGCUAUAUAUUUCAUCAUUUUACAACAAUUCGCAAGCAAACUUUGCAAUUUUACUCAUUUUAAGAUUCUCUUUCCAGCUAUGGUAAUGGAUUUCGUUCUUCUUGCCUAGAUCAAAAUUUCGUCGAAAGCUGGAAUCAUUCAUUUCUUGUUCUGUUUUUUAAAGGUUCCUGUCGUAUCUGUUUCGAUUAAUCGACUGUGCGGACUCGCCUGAUAACUCG
rnacentral:lncRNA from 1 species